rnacentral:piRNA from 1 species
UGCCACCUGUUUAGGACCACCUCCA